GACGAACGCUGGCGGCGUGCCUAAUACAUGCAAGUCGAACGAGAGCGACCGGUGCUUGCACUGGUCAAUCUAGUGGCGAACGGGUGAGUAACACGUGGGUAACCUGCCCAUCAGAGGGGGAUAACAUCCGGAAACGGAUGCUAAAACCGCAUAGGUCUUCGAGCCGCAUGGCUUGAAGAGGAAAAGAGGCGCAAGCUUCUGCUGAUGGAUGGACCCGCGGUGCAUUAGCUAGUUGGUGAGGUAACGGCUCACCAAGGCCGUGAUGCAUAGCCGACCUGAGAGGGUGAUCGGCCACAUUGGACUGAGACACGGCCCAAACUCCUACGGGAGGCAGCAGUAGGGAAUCUUCCGCAAUGGACGCAAGUCUGACGGAGCAACGCCGCGUGAGUGAAGAAGGUUUUCGGAUCGUAAAACUCUGUUGUUAGAGAAGAACAAGUGCUAGAGUAACUGUUAGCGCCUUGACGGUAGCUAACCAGAAAGCCACGGCUAACUACGUG
rnacentral:rRNA from 1 species